GUGAGAUAGAGGUGGAGAGUAAGAGGAGGGGGAGAGAGAGGGGACAGAAACAGGUAAGGGGUGAGGUAGAGGUGGAGAAUAAGAGGAGGGGGAGAGAGAGGGGACAGAAACAGGUAAGGGGUGAGGUAGAGGUGGAGAAUAAGAGGAGGGGGAGAGAGAGGGGACAGAAACAGGGAAGGGGUGAGGUAGAGGUGGAGAGUAAGAGGAGGGGGAGAGAGAGGGGACAGAAACAGGUAAGGGGUGAGGUAGAGGUGGAGAAUAAGAGGAGGGGGAGAGAGAGGGGACAGAAACAGGGAGAAAGUGGGAAAACAAGACAGGAGAAAGAUACGGAUGAGAAAAGGUGCAAAGACAACAGGAAGAUGGAUGAGUGAACCUAAACGACGUCAGUAGGCAAUUAAUUAACAGUGUGUGUGUGUGUGUGUGUGUGUGUGUGUGUGUGUGUGUGUGUGUGUGUGUGUGUGUGUGUGUGUGUGUGUGUGUGUGUGUGUGUGUGUGUGUGUGUGUUAACAACAGAUAGAGGUGUGUUUGUGUCUGGUGAUAAUCAACCUAUCCUCGUGUCAGACACCAGCAACACUAAUCACAUACAACACUAACUAAUGGAAAGAUACAGAGAGGAAGCUGGCGGGGGGAAACCUACAGCCUGAUAUUCUAGUACGCUAAACAAUAAACCAAGAUCAAAGUAAAUUGGUUCUCCUUGAAGGAAAGGUUCUGUCUGCAAAGGAAGGGUUUUCCUUCCUGUCGGUAUUAUUCCCAUGUCAGAACUGUUGAGGGGAUGACUAUGAAUGUCUUGUCCUUCUAACCUGAGAAUAGAGCCCCCUCCUCUGACCCCAUCUGUUGUCUUUGACUGAGACAUUAAGUUCCAGGCACAUCGUUGCCUUGUUUUGUAUCACAUUCCCCACAUCCCCAGUGAAAGUUGCACCCUUGAUAUAAUGAGUCUGCAGCACUAAAUAGAUGUAUUGAUGGCAUUGAUUUGAUAGGUCAUUCAACAAAUCUUACAGGUUGUUUAAUAGCUGCGUUAAGGUUAUGGUGGUAAGUUAACCCCAAACAACAGCAUGGAGACACCCUACACUUCCAUGUAGGUAUUUCAAGGUUGACAUCGUUCUCUAAACAAAAAUACAGCUCACUCUAAGAUUAAAUAGGGAAAAACGACAUUUAAAAAGUCCUAAACAGAAAUUUAAACACACAAUCCUAGACAGCUUUUCUCUCUGGAGGCUCAUAUGAGCUCCCCAAACCAAGACUGCUCUGAAGUGAGUUAGCU
rnacentral:lncRNA from 1 species